rnacentral:rRNA from 1 species
UACGGAGGAUGCGAGCGUUAUCCGGAUUUAUUGGGUUUAAAGGGUGCGUAGGCGGACGCUUAAGUCAGCGGUAAAAUUGCGGGGCUCAACCUCGUCGAGCCGUUGAAACUGGGAGUCUUGAGUGGGCGAGAAGUACGCGGGAUGCGUGGUGUAGCGGUGAAAUGCAUAGAUAUCACGCAGAACUCCGAUUGCGAAGGCAGCGUACCGGCGCCCAACUGACGCUGAAGCACGAAGGCGUGGGUAUCGAACAGG